rnacentral:tRNA from 1 species
CGGGGAGUGGCGCAGUGGUAGCGCACCUGCUUUGGGAGCAGGAGGUCGCGGGUUCAAAUCCCGUCUCCCCGA